rnacentral:tRNA from 1 species
ACUAUUUUGGCAGAUAAAGUGCAAUAAGUUUAGAAUUUAUUUAUGUAAUUCAUUACAAAUAGUA